rnacentral:misc_RNA from 1 species
UACACCCUCACCCCUCCCUCCUUGUGUGGGUCGGUUGGCUUGCUAGCCAGCCUCAGGGGUGGAUCUGGCUUCCCCAAACCGCUUUGGCGGGUUGGGUUGGCUGAAGUUUAGAGGCUUAAACAAGGACCCGAUAUGGGCUUCAACUGGAUAGGUAGCACCGGCUUCUGUCGACUACACGAAGUUGUGGCUUGUGGUCUUUGUUAGGGGCCAAGCAGGAAACAUGCUUGCAUGUUCUAAAC